GACGAACCGAGCGAGCGUUGUUCGGAAUCACUGGGCCUAAAGGGCGCGUAGGCGGGGUCAUAAGUCUGUGGUGAAAUCCUCCGGCUCAACCGGAGAACUGCCUCGGAUACUGUGGCUCUCGAGGGUGGUAGGGGUAUGCGGAACUAUCGGUGGAGCGGUGAAAUGCGUUGAUAUCGAUAGGAACUCCGGUGGCGAAGGCGGCAUACUGGACCACUUCUGACGCUGAGGCGCGAAAGCCAGGGGAGCAAACGGG
rnacentral:rRNA from 1 species